rnacentral:rRNA from 3 species
CAGCGAAACUGCGAAUGGCUCAUUAUAUAAGUUAUCGUUUAUUUGAUAGUACCUUACUACUUGGAUAACCGUGGUAAUUCUAGAGCUAAUACAUGCUAAAAAUCCCGACUUCGGAAGGGAUGUAUUUAUUAGAUUAAAAACCAAUGCCCUCUGGGCUCCUUGGUGAUUCAUAAUAACUUUUCGAAUCGCAUGGCCUUGCGCCGGCGAUGGUUCAUUCAAAUUUCUUCCCUAUCAACUUUCGAUGUUUGGGUAUUGGCCAAACAUGGUCGCAACGGGUAACGGAGGGUUAGGGCUCGACCCCGGAGAAGGAGCCUGAGAAACGGCUACUACAUCCAAGGAAGGCAGCAGGCGCGCAAAUUACCCAAUCCCGAUUCGGGGAGGUAGUGACAAUAAAUACUGAUACAGGGCUCUUUUGGGUCUUGUAAUUGGAAUGAGUACAAUUUAAAUCCCUUAACGAGGAACAAUUGGAGGGCAAGUCUGGUGCCAGCAGCCGCGGUAAUUCCAGCUCCAAUAGCGUAUAUUAAAGUUGUUGUGGUUAAAAAGCUCGUAGUUGAACCUUGGGCCUGGCUGGCCGGUCCGCCUCACCGCGUGUACUGGUCCGGCCGGGCCUUUCCCUCUGUGGAACCUCAUGCCCUUCACUGGGUGUGGCGGGGAAACAGGACUUUUACUUUGAAAAAAUUAGAGUGCUCCAGGCAGGCCUAUGCUCGAAUACAUUAGCAUGGAAUAAUGAAAUAGGACGUGUGGUUCUAUUUUGUUGGUUUCUAGGACCGCCGUAAUGAUUAAUAGGGACAGUCGGGGGCAUCAGUAUUCAAUUGUCAGAGGUGAAAUUCUUGGAUUUAUUGAAGACUAACUACUGCGAAAGCAUUUGCCAAGGAUGUUUUCAUUAAUCAGGAACGAAAGUUAGGGGAUCGAAGACGAUCAGAUACCGUCGUAGUCUUAACCAUAAACUAUGCCGACUAGGGAUCGGACGAUGUUAUUUUUUGACGCGUUCGGCACCUUACGAGAAAUCAAAGUG